GGCGAACGCUGGCGGCGUGCUUCAUACAUGCAAGUCGAACGAGAAGCUGACUUCGGUCAGUGGAAAGUGGCGGACGGGUGAGUAAUAUGUAGGAAAUCUGCCUUUAGGAGGGGGACAACAGAGGGAAACUUCUGCUAAUACCCCAUAUGAGCGUAGCUGAAAUGCUAUUCUUGAAAACUCCGGUGCCUAAAGAUGAGCCUGCAUCUGAUUAGCUAGUUGGUAGUGUAAUGGACUACCAAGGCGACGAUCAGUAGCUGGUUUGAGAGGAUGAUCAGCCACAAUGGGACUGAGACACGGCCCAUACUCCUACGGGAGGCAGCAGUAGGGAAUUGUGCGCAAUGGGCGAAAGCCUGACGCAGCAACGCCGCGUGAACGAUUAAGCCCUUCGGGGUGUAAAGUUCUGUCAGUGGGGACGAAACUUGACGGUACCCACAGAGGAAGCACCGGCUAACUCCGUG
rnacentral:rRNA from 1 species